GGUCUGGUAGUCUAACAGCAACGACGCUGCUCUCAGAAAGCGGAGUUCCGGGUGCAAAUCCCGGCCGGAUCA
rnacentral:tRNA from 1 species